AGCAUGUGUUAAAUUAGAGGAGCUUGUGAUGUCAAAAGAAAUGCAGAAAGACAUUCCGAAACUUUCUCCAGGAGCCCAACCUGGAUUUCAUUCUGUCAUUAAUCAUUUUGCACCAAAGAUGUUUGGGUUUUCCUACCAUGGAAUGUUAAGCAGGUUAAAAUUUGCUGCCCUCCAUUACAAUGAAAAUGGGAUGAGAGAUCAAGCAGUAACAAAAGAUGGACAACCACAGUACAACAUUGUGUACCCAAAGUUCAAGAAGGGCGGAUACACAGUAUGAGAAGUGAAAACUGGUUGUACAUAUAAUUAUGUCAGUAAGCUCAUGGACGUUGUAUAUAAAAAUGCCAAAGAAACAAAAUUAAGUCAGGUAAAAGUGUACAGAGUUGCAGCACCACCUCCUCUAUGCAGUUCAUUUGAAAAACCUGAUAAAGCAUCAGCAAUUUUA